UACGUAGGGUGCGAGCGUUGUCCGGAAUUAUUGGGCGUAAAGAGCUUGUAGGCGGUUUGUCGCGUCUGCCGUGAAAUUUCGAGGCUCAACCUCGAACUUGCGGUGGGUACGGGCAGACUAGAGUGUGGUAGGGGAGACUGGAAUUCCUGGUGUAGCGGUGAAGUGCGCAGAUAUCAGGAGGAACACCGAUGGCGAAGGCGGUUCUCUGGGCCUGUACUGACGCUGAGGAGCGAAAGCGUGGGGAGCGAACAGG
rnacentral:rRNA from 1 species